rnacentral:rRNA from 1 species
UGGUGGAGUGAUCUGUCUGGUUAAUUCCGUUAACGAACGAGACCUCAGCCUGCUAACUAGUCCGACGAAGUCCCUUUUCCAGCGGGAUUAGGUACGCCCUGUCCUUUGCAGGAGUUGGGACUUUGGUAUUCGGAACUUCUUAGAGGGACUGUCUGUAUCUAGCAGAAGGAAGUAUGAGGCAAUAACA